rnacentral:rRNA from 1 species
AUUGAACGCUGGCGGCAGGCCUAACACAUGCAAGUCGAACGAGUGGCGGACGGGUGAGUAAUGUCUGGGAAACUGCCUGAUGGAGGGGGAUAACUACUGGAAACGGUAGCUAAUACCGCAUACCAUCGGAUGUGCCCAGAUGGGAUUAGCGAGUAGGUGGGGUAAAGCCUCACCUAGGCGACGAUCCCUAGCUGGUCUGAGAGGAUGACCAGCCAAACUGGAACUGGGGCACGGUCCGGACUCCUCAGGGAGGCAGCAGUAGGGAAUAUUGCACAAUGGGCGCAAGCCUGAUGCAGCCAUGCCGCGUGUAGGAAGAAGGCCUUCGGGUUUUAAAGUACUUUCAGCGGGGAGGCGUUACCCGCAGAAGAAGCACCGGCUAACUCCGUGCCAGCAGCCGCGGUAAUUC